GCCCGGGUGGUGGAAUUGGCAGACACGCUAUCUUGAGGGGGUAGUGCCGUAAGGUGUGCGGGUUCAAAUCCCGCCCCGGGCA
rnacentral:tRNA from 1 species